rnacentral:rRNA from 1 species
AACGAACGCUGGCGGCAGGCUUAACACAUGCAAGUCGAACGCGCCCUUCGGGGCGAGUGGCAGACGGGUGAGUAACGCGUGGGAACCUACCUUUUGGUACGGAAUAACUCAGGGAAACUUGAGCUAAUACCGUAUGUGCCCUUCGGGGGAAAGAUUUAUCGCCAAAGGAUGGGCCCGCGUCGGAUUAGCUAGUUGGUGGGGUAAUGGCCUACCAAGGCGACGAUCCGUAGCUGGUCUGAGAGGAUGAUCAGCCACACUGGGACUGAGACACGGCCCAGACUCCUACGGGAGGCAGCAGUGGGGAAUAUUGGACAAUGGGGGCAACCCUGAUCCAGCCAUGCCGCGUGAGUGAUGAAGGCCUUCGGGUCGUAAGGCUCUUUUACCCGGGAUGAUAAUGACAGUACCGGGAGAAUAAGCUCCGGCUAACUCCGUGCCAGCCGCCGCGGUAAUAC